rnacentral:rRNA from 1 species
UACAGAGGGGGCAAGCGUUAUUCGGAAUUAUUGGGCGUAAAGGGCGCGUAGGCGGCUUGGCAAGUGGAUGGUGAAAUCCCUCGGCUUAACCGAGGAACUGCCGUCCAAACUGCUUCGCUUGAGACCGGGAGAGGUGAGUGGAAUUCCCAGUGUAGCGGUGAAAUGCGUAGAUAUUGGGAGGAACACCAGUGGCGAAGGCGGCUCACUGGACCGGUACUGACGCUGAGACACGAAAGCGUGGGCAGCAAACAGG